rnacentral:tRNA from 1 species
CUGCGGUUGGAUCACCUCCUUUCUAGAGUACUAAAGUAAUAAGUCUCACAACUAUUACUUCAAUAAACUCAAUCAUCCUUGUUUAGAUUUCAAAGAUUGAUGAAAAAGCUAAUUUUGGGGAAUUAGCUCAGCUGGGAGAGCGCCUGCUUUGCACAUAAAAGCGUUAAGAAAAAGCAAACUGCUUUGCUUUUUUAGCUUUUCUCAUAAAGUACUGCGUUACUUUAUGAACUGCGUGCUUUAACUAGUUGAACUUUUUCUCUUAAGUUCUUUAUGGGGAAUUAGCUCAGCUGGGAGAGCGCCUGCUUUGCACGCAGGAGGUCAGCGGUUCGAUCCCGCUAUUCUCCACCAUUAUUAAGGGCCUAUAGCUCAGCUGGUUAGAGUGCACCCCUGAUAAGGGUGAGGUCACAAGUUCAAGUCUUGUUAGGCCCACCAUAAAAAAGAUUUGUUUGCAAUAUAAAUAUAUAAGUUUUAAAACUUAAAGUAAGUAUAUUAAAUAUAUUUAUAAAUAAAAAUAUUUUAAUUAUUAAUUUACUUACUUUAGGUUUUAAGACCUAAAUUAAAUAAAUAAUAAAAUAUUUUAUAUAUUAGAUUAGUUAUUUAAAGUUAUUUGAAUUAUCAUUGUUAAGAGUCACAAGCAAGUUUUUAUUAAAAACAAUUUUACAGGACUUGUUAAAGAAUAAAAUUACUAUUAUCUUUGCUUUAGUCUUUAAAGAUUAAAGAUAAGUUUUAAACUCACAGCUCAGCGCCUAUAUUUUUGUUUUAUUAAAGUUGUUUAAAUGCUAUCCGUCUUCGAGAUAGUAACGUUUUUAUUGUUAUAACUUUAACACUGAGUGAUGCGUUUUAGAUAAAAGGUAACAAGUAGCUACUACAUCGAUG